UAAUUACAUAUACAGUAUACUUGGAGAUCUAUACGGUUAAAAAUAUAGUAAUUAUUACCAUAUGUAUAUGUUUAAUUAGUAAUUAUAAAUAGUUUAUUUGGUUGCAUACAGUUGAAAAAUAAUUUUUAAAAUUUUAUUAUUUUAUAUAUAUGUAUGAUGGCGAGAUUACUUUCAAUAUUAAAAAAAUAUUUUUUAUUUUAAAAAUAAUUAGAAGGACAUGCUUAUUUUUUACUUAAAAUUAUUCUCUUCAACUUGCUGCAGUUGGAACUACGCUCAAUUUUAAUAUAGUUCCAAUUAAUUCCUCCUGCAGUUUCUACAAACAGACUUUAUAAUAGAGUUCUAAUUGUAAAUUUGUAGUAAUUUAGGAUAUGGAAUUUAACCCCACUUUUAAUUUUGUUCUUGGGUUGUAAAUUUUGCUUCUCAAUUAUGGUGAAAAUUUUGAUUUCGUCCUUAAACCAUAAUUUUAAUUAUUAAUUUAUCAUAAAAUUUUUAAAUUUAUAUAACAAGAAAAUUUAUAAUGAUGACUCCAACGUGACAAAUUUUCAGACACUGGAUUAAAAAGAAGAAGAAGAAGAAGAAGAAGACAGAUUUGUUAUGCAUGAUAAACUUGAUAGAGUGAAUUGUUAAAUUAAAAUUAAGAUUCACAUAAAUCUUAAUUAAUAUUUUAAUUUAAGAUAUAGGAUUAAAAAAAAGGAUUAAUUGCAUAUAAGUUCCUGCAAACAUGGUGAAUUGUAGAUAUAUUUCUACAAAACUCAAUUUUUAUAAGUUGUCCCUACAAAAAUACUAAUGUAUGCAGAUAUGUCCCUGCCGUUAGUUUCCGUUAGAGAAACUUUGUUAACCAUAGUUAAAAUACUUAAUUAUGGUUAAUUAAUAAGGUGAAUUUAUAAUUUUACCUUUUUCUUCUUCCCCUUCGUCUUCCUCUUCCCUCUUCUUCAUCGCCGGCAAACCCGACCUCGACCUCGCCGUGGCGGCGAACUCUCUCCCUCUUCCUCUUUCCCCUUCUUCUUCCUCUUCCCUCUUCUUCGUCGCCGACGAACCGGACCCCGACCUCGCUGCAGCAGCGAACCCUCUCCCUCUUCCUCUUUCUCUUCCCUCUUCCUCUCCCUUUUCCUCUUCCCUCUUUUUCUUCCUCUCCCUAUUCCUCUUCCCUCUUCUUCGUCGCCGGCGAACCCAACCCCGACCUCGCCGCAAACCCCCUCGCCUCCGCCUCCUUAUUCUUUUUCUUUGUAUCCUCCUCUUCUCCUCCUUCUUCUUCUUUGUCGUUGUCGUCGAUGAUCCGCCACCGCCGCCGUCCGCUCCAGUGGCCCGAAGAGGAAAAGGAGGAGGAAGAUGGAGUAUUUUUGGAGGGACAUAUUUGUGAGGGCAAAAUUAUCAUUUCACAAGCAAACUGUUAAAAAAUUAACAGUUUCCUAACAAAUUUUAACCAUAGAGAUAUAUCUGCAUAUAUUAGGACUUUUGCAGGGACAACUUAUGAAAGUUUAGUUUUGCAAGAAUAUAUUUGUUAUUCAUCAUGUUUGCAGGAAUCUAUAUGAAAUUAACCCUAAAAAAAAAAUCUGACCUUCUUUUAAUUCUCAAGGUACAAUGUUGUUUAAUCAUAGACUAUAAAUUUUCCCUUUUUUUUCUUUUAAGAAGGCCCGUAGUUACACUUAUAAUUACAACUACUCUAAAAAAAAAAAA
rnacentral:lncRNA from 1 species